rnacentral:tRNA from 1 species
CGUCUAGCGGCCUAGGACACCGCCCUCUCACGGCGGCAGCACCGGUUCAAAUCCGGUACGGGGUACCA